GACGAACGCUGGCGGCGUGCUUAACACAUGCAAGUCGAACGGAAAGGCCCUGCUUUUGUGGGGUGCUCGAGUGGCGAACGGGUGAGUAACACGUGAGUAACCUGCCCUUGACUUUGGGAUAACUUCAGGAAACUGGGGCUAAUACCGGAUAGGAGCUCCUGCUGCAUGGUGGGGGUUGGAAAGUUUCGGCGGUUGGGGAUGGACUCGCGGCUUAUCAGCUUGUUGGUGGGGUAGUGGCUUACCAAGGCUUUGACGGGUAGCCGGCCUGAGAGGGUGACCGGCCACAUUGGGACUGAGAUACGGCCGAAACUCCUACGGGAGGCAGCAGUGGGGAAUAUUGCACGAUGGGCGGAAGCCUGAUGCAGCAACGCCGCGUGCGGGAUGACGGCCUUCGGGUUGUAAACCGCUUUCGCCUGUGACGAAGCGUGAGUGACGGUAAUGGGUAAAGAAGCACCGGCUAACUACGUG
rnacentral:rRNA from 1 species